rnacentral:misc_RNA from 1 species
GAUGAAGAACGCAGUGAAACGCGAUAAGUAAUGUGAAUUGCAGAAUCCAGUGAAUCAUCGAAUCUUUGAACGCACAUUGCGCCCGCCAGCAUUCUGGCGGGCAUGCCUGUUCGAGCGUCAUUUCAACCCUCAAGCACAGCUUGGUCUUGGGCUUCGCCGCUAACCCGGCGGGUCUUAAAAUCAGUGGCGGUGCCGUCGGGCCCUGAGCGCAGUAAUCUCUCUCGCUAUAGGGUCCCGGCGGAUGCUGGCCAGUAACCCCCAAUUUUCUAUGGUUGACCUCGGAUCAGGUAGGGAUACCCGCUGAACUUAAGCAUAUCAAUAAGCGGAGGA